CAGAUUAUAAAUGUGCUGCAGUUAAUGUUGUGUUUACUACCGAAUUAAUGUGUGUCUAAAUAUUAAAUUAAUGUGCAGCAGAGACAUGUAUUAAAGGGGCUGUUCAAGUGUCUUGUUGUUGAUUUCUAGUCCAGCCGAAAUUAAAAGAGCAAUUUAAUGUGCAGGUACACUCCCUUGGACGGCAUUAAAGGAGGCAUGCUGGCCGAAUUUAAUGUACAGUAAAGACAUGUAUUAAAGGGGUUGUUCCACAUGCAAGGGACGUCCAUUUAAUGAGCUUCUGAAGAAAACAUGCAUGGAACGCAUUAAAGAGGAGGCUGCUGCGAAUUUAAUAUGUGCAUGACAUAGGACGGCAUUAAAGAGAAUGGGUUGCUGAUUGCUAUUUUCCAAGCAUCUCCUCGUGAAGUUCAAGGACCAAAGGAGCUGAUGCUUCCUAAUCCCAAAAUGACCGGCCCGUUCUCCAACCAGUUUUAAUGACCAUUCGGUUGAGAGCUUUCACACACUAAGGGCUAUUCAGUUUCGUUCGUUCACAUUGCAUGACUUUUCAAUCUUCUUCCUUCAUACCGAGUGACUAUUGAAGAGUUCCAUGUAGCCUCAUUAUGACCAAGAAUAUUCGGCUGAACCAAGGCAGCUCAAUUACUACAUGCAUUCAUCUUCUCAAAUUCAUUUGCUUAAGCCUUAAGCUGACCAUUGGAGCUCCCUAUUCAGCCAAACUUUAUUAUGACAAUUUAGUGUUUUAUUUCCAGAAUUUUCUAGCCUUUUCUAGCCUAAUUAAUUACUUAGAUAUUAAGUUUUUGCUUAGGUCAUUUGGCUACCUAGCUGAACAUUAUAAAUAGUUUACUUGUUUAUUGUAAAAGGUUACAGAAUUUGAUGAAUUAAACUUAAUAGAACUUUUGUUCUUGUGAGGUUACCUCCUCUCUUCUUUCAUUCGAGUCUCGAAGCGACUUAUCUAGCUUGCUAGUGGCGUCAAUCCGAACUCCAUUGGACUUAUCACCUAACCGGUGUGGUGUUCAACCAUAUUAUUAUACCUUUGGUUCUUACCUCCAUAUAGGUAACGGGUCAAGGUCCGCUUCUAUCCUUCAUCAUAAUUCACCUUAAGUAACAUAAGACUCGGGGCAAUACUUUUUAGUAUUGAAACAUUCUUGAAGCUUGAGUUCAACUUCCAUUCUAUUUUAUCUAUCAACUUAAAAAUUAUUUCUUUGUUAAACCGAACGUAUCAACCAUCAAACCAAGCCCAUCUUUUGAACCCAAACUGCCUGUUUCCGCUUAUACAUCUCCAUAACUCAAUUUUCAUAAGACACCAAAAUGAAAACUUCUCGUCGACGAUCGGGCAACUACGUGGAACGACUCGAUUAACCUGGGCCGGAUCGUAUCAUGGAGCCGCACCAGUCAGACAGAGUGCUACGAAAGUUUGGAUGUAGACAACCGAUUCCCGUAGAUCCUGAGGUGUUUGACACUCUAAAAUGGUUCCCUCUUAAACAGGGAAGGCAUGAAUACAAUAUGUUUUCUUUUCGAGUUAUGAUUGAUUUUCAGGUUCUUGGGAGCAACUUUGUCCCAAUAAUCAGCAAAGGGGGUCGUGACGAAGAAAUAUUUUUCGUGAGCAAGUGGCCCGAUUUGAGGACAAAUCACCUUAAAGAGGGAGGGGAUGAUACGGCCACGCCCCGGGCACACUCUUGGAUUAGCUUCCCAAGUGAGGCUUGUCGUCUUUUGCAAAGCUGAUCUAGAUCAAAUUUAGCUCGUUGAGCUUAAAUCAACUCGAUUCUAGCUCUUUGAGCUUGAUUCCAUCUUUUACUUUACUUGUUUAAUUGCUGGAAUAAUUUCAUGAUUUAAUUAAAUUAGUUAAUUUAGUUUUAGCUCAUAAAUAUGUCUUAAUUUGAACUUAUUUAAUUUUGUGUCUAAAGAAGAGACAAAUAAAAUUAGCUGCUGCUGAAAUUAAUUUGUGUCCUGGUUAUUACAAUUUUAAUAGGCGUUUUUAAUGUGUCUUAGCUUUAGACAUCUUAAUUACAUGUUUGAGUUCAGACCAAUUAAUUAUGCUUAAGCUGCUAUUGACUUGUCCUGCCGAAUCUGUCCAUUUAAGUUGUCUUGUGCAGCCGAAUUUAUUUUGUCUCCAACUAAUAUUUAAGUGCAGAUUAUAAAUGUCUGUAGUUAAUGUUGUGUUUACUACCGAAUUAAUGUGUGUCUAAAUGUUAAAUUAAUGUGCAGCAGAGACAUGUAUUAAAGGGGCUGUUCAAGUGUCUUGUUGUUGAUUUCUAGUCCAGCCGAAAUUAAAAGAGCAAUUUAAUGUGCAGGUACACUCCCUUGGACGGCAUUAAAGGAGGCAUGCUGGCCGAAUUUAAUGUACAGUAAAGACAUGUAUUAAAGGGGUUGUUCCACAUGCAAGGGACGUCCAUUUAAUGAGCUUCUGAAGAAAACAUGCAUGGAACGCAUUAAAGAGGAGGCUGCUGCGAAUUUAAUAUGUGCAUGACAUAGGAAGGCAUUAAAGAGAAUGGGUUGCUGAUUGCUAUUUUCCAAGCAUCUCCUCGUGAAGUUCAAGGACCAAAGGAGCUGAUGCUUCCUAAUCCCAAAAUGACCGGCCCGUUCUCCAACCAGUUUUAAUGACCAUUCGGUUGAGAGCUUUCACACACUAAGGGCUAUUCAGUUUCGUUCGUUCACAUUGCAUGACUUUUCAAUCUUCUUCCUUCAUACCGAGUGACUAUUGAAGAGUUCCAUGCAGCCUCAUUAUGACCAAGAAUAUUCGGCUGAACCAAGGCAGCUCAAUUACUACAUGCAUUCAUCUUCUCAAAUACAUUUGCUUAAGCCUUAAGCUGACCAUUGGAGCUCCCCAUUCAGCCAAACUUUAUUAUGACAAUUUAGUGUUUUCUUUCUAGAAUUUUCUAGCCUUUUUAGCCUAAUUAAUUACUUAGAUAUUAAGUCUUUGCUUAGGCCAUUUGGCUACCUAGCUGAACAUUAAAUAUUUUACUUGUUUAUUGUAAAAGGUUAUAGAAUUUGAUGAAUUAAACUUAAUAGAACUUUUGUUCUUGUGAGGUUACCUCCUCUCUUCUUUCGUUCGAGUCUCGAAGCGACUUAUCUAGCUUACUAGUGGCGUUAAUCCGAACUCUAUUGGACUUAUCAC
rnacentral:lncRNA from 1 species